UCCAGACUCCUACGGGAGGCAGCAGUGGGGGAUAUUGCACAAUGGGGGAAACCCUGAUGCAGCGACGCCGCGUGAGCGAUGAAGUAUUUCGGUAUGUAAAGCUCUCUCAGCAGGGAAGAAAAUGACGGUACCUGACCAAGAAGCCCCGGCUAACUACGUGCCAGCAGCCGCGGUAAUACGUAGGGGGCAAGCGUUAUCCGGAUUUACUGGGUGUAAAGGGAGCGUAGGCGGCCAUGCAAGUCAGAAGUGAAAACGCGGGGCUCAACCCUGGGAGUGCUUUUGAAACUGUGCGGCUAGAGUGUCGGAGGGGUAAGUGGAAUUCCUAGUGUAGCGGUGAAAUGCGUAGAUAUUAGGAGGAACACCAGUGGCGAAGGCGGCUUACUGGACGAUGACUGACGCUGAGGCUCGAAAGCGUGGGGAGCAAACAGGAUUAGAUACCCUCGUA
rnacentral:rRNA from 1 species